rfam:Parastrongyloides trichosuri strain KNP genome assembly, scaffold: PTRK_scaffold0000093
CCAAAGGCCCUCUUUAGGGCCACCAAAUUAUUUUAAUUUUGUAAAU